GUUAGAGUAGGUGAUUGCGCGUGAAGUGCUAGUUGGAUAGGAUGUUGCCACUAGACGAAAAAAUCUUUUGGAUUUUGCGAUGCAUAUACCGCUUCCGCUAAC
rnacentral:ncRNA from 16 species